UAUCUCUGUAGAGUCUGCAUAUCAAUAAGCGGAGGAAAAGAAACUAACAAGGAUUCCUUAGUAACGGCGAGUGAAGCGGGAAGAGCUCAAAUUUGAAAUCUCCAAGGUUUUACCUUGACGAAUUGUAGUUUAAAGAAGUGUUUUCUGUUGAAGUUUCGGUAAAAGUUCUUUGGAAUAGGACAUCAUAGAGGGUGAGAAUCCCGUAUUUGACCGUUAUUUUCAGCUGUGUGAUACACUUUCAAAGAGUCGGAUAGUUUGGGAAUGCAGUCCAAAAUGGGUGGUAAAUUUCAUCUAAAGCUAAAUAUUGGCGAGAGACCGAUAGCGAACAAGUACCGUGAGGGAAAGAUGAAAAGAACUUUGAAAAGAGAGUUAAACAGUACGUGAAAUUGUCAAAAGGGAAGCGUUUGACACCAGUGUUGUUUUUCCAAAAAUCAAUUACGAAUGGCUUGAUUUUGUGUUGUAUUGACCUUAUCAGCUUUCUGCACUUUUUUCGAGUUUUUCUUAAUGCACUUUUCGGUUAACAAGUCAACAUCAAUUUCUUUUGUUGUAAAAGAGUAUUCGGAAGGUGGCUUUCUUUUCGGAGAAAGUGUUUAUAGCCCUAUACUUCUACAAUCGGAGAGAUUGAGGUCUGCAGCGUAGAUCCUUCGGGGUUAGAUACACUUGUGCUAAGUUGUAGCUUUUCAUAGACAACUUGUUGACUAUGUUUAGUCUUGCGGCUUACUCGCUUGUGCUAUUUUACCUACGCUUAGGAUGUUGACUGAUAUGUAGUCGUA
rnacentral:rRNA from 1 species